rnacentral:sRNA from 1 species
UUUUUGCGUUCACGAUGGCAGCGGCAUCCUUUAGCAGCUUUCUUUAAGCGGCUAAAGAUAUAGCGAACAGCGUGAUGAAAC